rnacentral:rRNA from 1 species
CACGUAGGGUGCGAGCGUUGUCCGGAAUUAUUGGGCGUAAAGGGCUCGUAGGCGGUUUGUCGCGUCGGGAGUGAAAACACGGGGCUUAACCCCGUGCCUGCUUCCGAUACGGGCAGACUAGAGGUAUGCAGGGGAGAACGGAAUUCCUGGUGUAGCGGUGAAAUGCGCAGAUAUCAGGAGGAACACCGAUGGCGAAGGCAGGUCUCUGGGCAUUAACUGACGCUGAGGAGCGAAAGCAUGGGGAGCGAACAGG